UUAAGUUAAUAAGGGCGCACGGUGGAUGCCUUGGCACUAGGAGCCGACGAAGGACGUGACAAACGACGAUAUGCCUUGGGUAGCUGUAAGUAAGCGAUGAUCCAGGGAUUUCCGAAUGGGGGAACCCAACAGGUAAUACCUGUUACCUACAUCUGUUAAGGAUGUGAGGAGGAAGACGCAGUGAACUGAAACAUCUAAGUAGCUGCAGGAAGAGAAAGCAAAAGCGAUUGCCUUAGUAGCGGCGAGCGAAACGGCAGAAGGGCAAACCGAAGAGUUUACUCUUCGGGGUUGUAGGACUGCAAUGUGGACUCAAAGAUUAUAGAAGAAUGAUUUGGGAAGAUCAGCCAAAGAGAGUAAUAGCCUCGUAUUUAAAAUAGUCUUUGUACUUAGCAGUAUCCUGAGUACGGCGGGACACGUGAAAUCCCGUCGGAAUCUGGGAGGACCAUCUCCCAACCCUAAAUACUCCCUAGUGACCGAUAGUGAACCAGUACCGUGAGGGAAAGGUGAAAAGCACCCCGGGAGGGGAGUGAAAUAGAACCUGAAACCGUGUGCCUACAACAAGUUCGAGCCCGUUAAUGGGUGAGAGCGUGCCUUUUGUAGAAUGAACCGGCGAGUUACGUUAUGAUGCGAGGUUAAGUUGAAGAGACGGAGCCGUAGGGAAACCGAGUCUGAAUAGGGCGCCUUAGUAUCAUGACGUAGACCCGAAACCAUGUGACCUACCCAUGAGCAGGUUGAAGGUGCGGUAAGACGCACUGGAGGACCGAACCAGGGCACGUUGAAAAGUGCUUGGAUGACUUGUGGGUAGCGGAGAAAUUCCAAACGAACUUGGAGAUAGCUGGUUCUCUCCGAAAUAGCUUUAGGGCUAGCGUCGACAUUAGAGAUUCUUGGAGGUAGAGCACUGUUUGGGUGAGGGGUCCAUCCCGGAUUACCAAUCUCAGAUAAACUCCGAAUGCCAAUGAAUUAUGGUCGGCAGUCAGACUGCGAGUGCUAAGAUCCGUAGUCGAAAGGGAAACAGCCCAGACCACCAGCUAAGGUCCCAAAAUAAUUGUUAAGUGGAAAAGGAUGUGGGGUUGCACAGACAACUAGGAUGUUAGCUUAGAAGCAGCUAUUCAUUCAAAGAGUGCGUAAUAGCUCACUAGUCGAGUGACCCUGCGCCGAAAAUGUACCGGGGCUAAAACAAUUUACCGAAGCUGUGGAUACCUUUAUAGGUAUGGUAGGAGAGCGUUCUAUGUGUGAUGAAGGUAUACCGUGAGGAGUGCUGGAACGCAUAGAAGUGAGAAUGCCGGUAUGAGUAGCGAAAGACAGGUGAGAAUCCUGUCCACCGUAAGACUAAGGUUUCCAGGGGAAGGCUCGUCCGCCCUGGGUUAGUCGGGACCUAAGGAGAGACCGAAAGGUGUAUCCGAUGGACAACAGGUUGAUAUUCCUGUACUAGAGUAUGUAGUGAUGGAGGGACGCAGUAGGCUAACUAAAGCAGACGAUUGGAAGAGUCUGUCUAAGCAGUGAGGUGUGAAUUGAGUCAAAUGCUUAAUUCUAUAACAUUGAGCUGUGAUGGGGAGCGAAGUUUAGUAGCGAAGUUAGUGACGUCAUACUGCCAAGAAAAGCUUCUAGCGUUUAAACAUACUCUACCCGUACCGCAAACCGACACAGGUAGUCGAGGCGAGUAGCCUCAGGUGAGCGAGAGAACUCUCGUUAAGGAACUCGGCAAAAUGACCCCGUAACUUCGGGAGAAGGGGUGCUGACUUAAAGUCAGCCGCAGUGAAUAGGCCCAAGCAACUGUUUAUCAAAAACACAGCUCUCUGCUAAAUCGUAAGAUGAUGUAUAGGGGGUGACGCCUGCCCGGUGCUGGAAGGUUAAGAGGAGUGCUUAGCGUAAGCGAAGGUAUGAAUUGAAGCCCCAGUAAACGGCGGCCGUAACUAUAACGGUCCUAAGGUAGCGAAAUUCCUUGUCGGGUAAGUUCCGACCCGCACGAAAGGCGUAAUGAUUUGGGCACUGUCUCAACGAGAGACUCGGUGAAAUUUUAGUACCUGUGAAGAUGCAGGUUACCCGCGACAGGACGGAAAGACCCCAUGGAGCUUUACUGCAGUUUGAUAUUGAGUGUCUGUACCACAUGUACAGGAUAGGUAGGAGUCUAAGAGAUCGGGACGCCAGUUUCGAAGGAGACGCUGUUGGGAUACUACCCUUGUGUUAUGGCCACUCUAACCCAGAUAGGUGAUCCCUAUCGGAGACAGUGUCUGACGGGCAGUUUGACUGGGGCGGUCGCCUCCUAAAAGGUAACGGAGGCGCCCAAAGGUUCCCUCAGAAUGGUUGGAAAUCAUUCGCAGAGUGUAAAGGUAUAAGGGAGCUUGACUGCGAGAGCUACAACUCGAGCAGGGACGAAAGUCGGGCUUAGUGAUCCGGUGGUUCCGUAUGGAAGGGCCAUCGCUCAACGGAUAAAAGCUACCCUGGGGAUAACAGGCUUAUCUCCCCCAAGAGUUCACAUCGACGGGGAGGUUUGGCACCUCGAUGUCGGCUCGUCGCAUCCUGGGGCUGUAGUCGGUCCCAAGGGUUGGGCUGUUCGCCCAUUAAAGCGGCACGCGAGCUGGGUUCAGAACGUCGUGAGACAGUUCGGUCCCUAUCCGUCGCGGGCGUAGGAAAUUUGAGAGGAUCUGCUCCUAGUACGAGAGGACCAGAGUGGACUUACCGCUGGUGUACCAGUUGUCUUGCCAAAGGCAUCGCUGGGUAGCUAUGUAGGGAAGGGAUAAACGCUGAAAGCAUCUAAGUGUGAAACCCACCUCAAGAUGAGAUUUCCCAUGAUUAUAUAUCAGUAAGAGCCCUGAGAGAUGAUCAGGUAGAUAGGUUAGAAGUGGAAGUGUGGCGACACAUGUAGCGGACUAAUACUAAUAGCUCGAGGACUUAUCCAA
rnacentral:rRNA from 1 species